UUCAUUGUAAAUAAUAAAAAUAAUAUAGGAAAGGAACGGUUCAAUACAAAACUUUUUUAUUCAAUGGCAAAUCAGUCUCAAUCAUGAAAUACUCAAAAAACCCAUUUAGUAAACGUUUUAGGGUGUGACAGUUGCAGCAAGAACAGCCAAUGGGAAUCCGUGGAAAGAAAACUGGCAUCAGUAUUUCCAAUCUUAAUCAAUUGGUAUCAAUGUUCCAAUUCAUUAAAUGAAAAUCUUAUAUAUUCAUGUUUGAAAAGUUACAUCAUAAACAGCUUUACCUUGUGCCAUCUCGUCAGACAUUCAAGUUUCAACCAGUAAAACGCAUAGUGCGACCACAGCCACGAUGCUAGUGCACUAGUCGUUCAAUAGCGCUGUGGAGCGCACGGAAAAUGUGUUACAUAUGACAGCGUUUUUGGGUCGUGUUUCAGCUCUGGUCGCACGUUCUUUUGGCUGGAGCUGAAACGUUGUUCGCUUUGAGUGUAGAUUCGGUGUAUGCUGAGUUUGUAGAAGGCUAGCGUUCCAAGAAGACGUUAGCUGCGAUGUAGCCGCAUUAAUAAUUUGAUAGGAACACGAUGUAAUACAAACCUUAAUUUCAUUCUUUCAUUCGUUCUCUCAGAACAGAACAGAACAGAACAGAACACAAAUUUACCGUUGACAAAUGUAUCCAGUUUUAACUGGUUACAUUGACCCAGCGCUAGCUAUGUGAGGGGUUUAUCAUAUAUUGUAUUAACAGUAAAAAUGAGCCAGCAGCUGAGUUACAGAAAAACUACUCCGCAACUGGGGAAAAUAUUACAAAUAACCCAAUAAAACGAUACAACAGGCUGAACUCAGCAUUUGGGUUAAAAAAAAAUAACCCAGCAUUUUUAAAGGAUGUAGUAGUCUGACUAUCAUCAGAUGCAUUAUACAAAAUCUCAUGUUUUUAAAUACAACAAAGAUAAGAUGUGCUGCUCUCUCUAUCUGUCUGGUGCGCUUGGACAGUAAAUAUAUUAGGUGCUCGGAUUAUUUGCCUGCUUAUAACCGCACACAAACACACAUUCAGAUAGAUGUCACUUAUUAAGGUCACUAUACAUACUUACCUACUAUAUAGUAGUUGAAAAACAGUAUGUGAAAAGAGCACUAUGUCCGAAUUCACAGUAUUCAUAAAACAGUAGGGAAAAAGUACCCAGAUGACCUACUACUUCCGGCGAGAAAUUGAAGAGCAGAUCCAGUGGACACUUUACUAUCCCAUGAGCCCAUGGGAGAUGAUUUGUAAACAGCAUUGAAUCAAUGCGACUGACGCUGUAGUUCACAUGAAAAUGACAACAUGACGAAUGUACGUCCUAAUUACAUUUAUACUACACUCAUUCAUACUAUAUACUAUUUUAAUGGUCUCGAAGUGAUUCAUAAUUAAAAAGUAAGAGUUUUCGGGUGCAGCCAGAAAGUUUCAGUGCAACCAGUGUAGUCCGAUCACCAAACAAAUGACUUUAUGAGUCGGUUCUUUUUAGUGUAAAAACGUACAGCGUCAAUAGCACAGCUCGAUUCAAACAAAUGACUGUAAUGAAUCGGUUUGUUUUAGUGACUCGAACACAUACA